AAAAUUGUCUGUUUUUUUCCUCUCCGCUUCAUCCAAUGAAGCCAGAGACAAUGAGCAGAGGUAAUUCAGACAAACAUUUUAUUUUAACUAACUAAUUACAAAUGUUUGCUUUAAAAAAAACACACGACCUAAUUGUUCUGUAAUUUCAUGAUUUAGGAUACUAGUUCUUGUCCAGAACCUUGGCUGGGAAGCAUACAGUACCCAGAUAUGAAAGAGAGAUUCCUGCUAUCAUUGGUGUGUCGGGAUGGGACAGUUUCAGCCCUUUAGUCACCUCACAACAUUAGAAGGUCCCCUCUCCCCCAUUGCUUUCCUAUUAAGUGGCUGCACUAAAUGAGCUCCCUCCCAAAUUAAUGAGCCUAGACAACACCAGUGGUCCCCAAUUAGAAGGUGUAUGGCUAGCAGAGCUGGCAAAUUCCUCUGCCUGGGAUCUUGGCUAACAGCCAGCAUGUGGUGUAUUCUGCACUGGUCUAGAUGCCCCAGAAUUGCACUCAUGUCAAGUCUGCAGGCUUCCCAUAGGCCUCUAACUGACCAGUGGGGGACGGACGGACAUGAAACUAUAUUAGAUAAGCCUUUAACACACAAGGGAAAUUCUUCUGUGUGACACCGUUUCUUUUAGACUUGUUCUUGGCACAGCAGAGCUUUAGAACAACUGCUCUGAAGAAUGCUGCCCCUUGCUCCGAACCUGCCCUGUACAAGAUGCUGAAAGGAAUAUUAAAUAUGGCAUUAGUGCCCUUAAUACAUUACAAACUUGCAGGGUGCGUCUCCACUUCCAGUUAAUUGGCCUUGUUUCACAAGCACUUUCAUUUAUCCUGAAGGACAAGCACUUUAGGCAACAUUUGUCAGCCUAGCUGCCAGCUCCCCAAAGCAAGCCCAGCUCAGGGUGACCUCAUGCACCAAGCAUGCAGGGGCCUGACCAUGAGCAGAGCCCUUGAACAAAUAUAGACAUGAAGGCCAGGCACUGUAUCAGUUGCAAUGAUAGGCAGAGUUUGCGAUAAACCUUUAUCACAUUUGGAAAGGGAGAAAGGGGGAAAAUCUUGGUCCGAUUCCAGCUCCAGAGAUUGAGACUCCUUAUUAUUAUUAUUUUUACCCUCCACUCUCCAACUCUUGCCAUAUCAAAUUAAGCCAAAUAAGGCUGACCACUCGCCCCACUUAUUUAUAACAUCACAGGAAACUUGGAACGACUUAUUAAAAGAUGGAAAUAGCUUUCUUCAUCUUGGAGACAGGCUUGUCUCUGCCAAGGUACACAGCAACUGGCUGUGCACACAAACAGAACCCCACAAAAAAGUGCCCCCAACACCAAAGGUUACAAAAACAUACCUGGCCUUGCUUAGCAUGAUGAACAAGGCAUUGGUGUUCCUGCUUUGAUACAACAAGCAACUUUCUCUGAGGGAUUCUAUCGCCCUUGACUCUCUGGCAUAGCCUGAUAAAUAUGAAUGACAAAGUGUAACAGAAAAUGACUAAUUGAUGCGUUCAUCACAGUCUUGGCAGCAGGACUGAGAUCACCAUGACUUUGCCUUGGGAUGUACUUCAGAACUCAGCCCAGUCCUAUCUUCUCCUACCUAUAGCCUAUAGCAUGGCAUAAAGUCCACAGCUCUAAUAACAUAGCAAUGUGGUAGCUCCUCUGCCCAGUGGGGUGGCGGCCUGGCAGAGGGGACCCCUAAGUUGUGGAAUUCCCUCCCCACAGAGCUGUGAUUGGCACCAACAGAGCUGUGAUUGGCACCUUCAUUAUACAGUUUCUGGAGAACGCUGAUGAAACUGAUGAAACUAGUGGGCCAUGGCUUGAUCCAAGGUCAGGAUCCAAGGACACUUGGAUUGUAUGCAACAGGGCUUGUGUGAAUGUCUACAAGAAAUGGGGAUUUGUGGAACCCGAUGUUCAUAUGAAGAGAAUGUUUCAUACUGAAGGCUGUCUGCCUGAUGGAGGGAAGGCGCUUAUGUGACCCCACGGCUAUGCUAUUUCGGCACUGUUCACCCCCCAAAAAAUCUAUGAACCAGGACUCUACCCUUCCUACUAUUUCUUUCCUUUUCAUCUGUACUGGUAUUCCAGAUCACUUCAGAAGUUUGGGCAUCUAACCCAGGCAUCCCCAAGCUGCGGCCCUCCAGAUGUUUUGGCCUACAACUCCCAUGAUCCCUAGCUAGCAGGACCAGUGGUCAGGGAUGAUGGGAAUUGUAGUCCAAAACAUCUGGAGGGCCGAAGUUUGGGGAUGCCUGAUCUAACCCUUCUAGGCAACGUUGCCCAUGAUGGUUGAGCCAGAGGCAAUGGUGGGCAGAGCAAACAAAUGCUAGCUCUUUACAGUUCUCUAGUUCCUGCAUAUUCUCACAUACACUGUCCAUCAUCCAGGCAAACAAGAGGCAUUAUCAAAGUUCAACAACACAUCCCAGCUAGGCAAGGAGAGGUAUCAAGCAAGGCUAGUGAGUGGUCUGGCCUGGAGAGACAGAAUGUUGACUGAUAGCGGUUGUGUGGCCCUAUGAGGGUCCUAAGUACCACACAGUGAGGCCUGCAGAGUUGUAUUUGGCCCCCAAGCCUGAAGUUUUCCACCCCUGCCCUAACGCAUCAUUCGCAGCACAUGGCAGGCCCAAACUUUUCUUGGAAGCUCCAAGGGAAGAUAUUCCACAGCUUCUGCGCUGCCAAACUUUCCUUGCAGUUAGGAUAUGUCUUCAUCGUUAAAAAUGCCCCAGAGGUUCUCCAUUGUUUUCAUUGCAUACCACUGACAUCGGUCCCAGAGAGGUGACCUCUGUGGCAAGGCAAACGGUUUAAAUAAAUAAAAAACAGGAAGAGCUGUGUUUUGUUUCUCCCCUUCCAUCUGUGCACCAAAUGGAUUUUUAACACGAAAACUGGAUGUUAAUGGAGCCCUUCCAGGAAAGCUGUACUCCAGCAAAAUCUCUCCUGGAAUCUGCUGUCUCUCCUAGAAAGCCUGGAUGUUUGCUGCGUGGCAGAGUUUCUUUCUAAUCAUCAGACUCAGUUGGUCUGGCCCAACUCAGUUGCUGUGGAUGUGAUCGUGGAAUGGAUAAGGGAAGAGGAUUGCCCAAAAGGUAUCGAGGGAGUCAGCUGCCGAGCAGGGGUGUGAAAACUUUACUUACAAGUUGGUUUUACCCACUGUGCCUUCCCUUGCAGUUGAUGGAGUAAUGGCAUUGUAAUGCUUUGCUUGCAGGCAGUCAAUUAAGCACCUACAGUUACUCCGCA